CGUCUCCAUUGAAAUGGUGUUGUUAGCUUUCUGCCACUGCUGCCUGAUGUGGGCCUCAGAAGACUCAGAGCAGGGUGCUGGCCGGGCCAGGCUCCUUCCGGAGACAGUAAAGGUGGUGUCGUGAGAAUAUGGUUCUCACAAGUUGAGGGUUGUCGGCUGGAGGCCACCCUAACUGCGGAGGGCUGCCUGUACUUCUCACUCUGGUCAUCAGAGCCAUCAAGGAGACAGUGUGCACGCAGCGCACAGCCCGCACCAGGAAUGGAUGUGCAAAGCAAGCCUCAGAAGAUGGGCAAAAACGGCACCAGCAAGACAGCGACAACAGUCGACCUGACACCCGUCUCCGUCCGCUGCCCACCAGUACCGCGGUGUCCCAGUGCCAGCGGAGGGAACUGAGGGAGACUGAGGGCUCCACGUCCUCUGAAGAAGCAAGCAGCACACACCCUGGUCCUCGCCCGAGGUUCCUGAUGAGCAGGUGUCUGGCGCCAGGACAUUGCUCCAGCGCGGGCCUUUUGGUGCAGUCCAAGGAAGACGAGGGAGGAGGCUACAUGUGACGACUCCAGCUUCAGGAGAAGCAGUGCAGGCCUUGACAACCUGCAACAAAGGGAGCAGUGAGGCCAUCCCUGGGCCUUGGGAGCAAAGCCGUCCUUCAAGGUUUGCCAAGAGCAACAAAGGAAAAACUAUCCUCACCAAGGUAUGAAGUGUGGUGUCCAGGUGGUGGGACAGAGCCGAACACUGUGCAUACAGCAUCUCCUGGGUCUUUCUUAGACCCCCCCCCUCCAGAAAUAUUUAACCUAAGUGAUCAUGAAGACACACACACUGAAUGCAAAUGUCCUGAAAAACAGAAGAUUCAGAAUCAGGAAGAGUGGAGGGGGCUGGAAACCACAUGUCACUGGGGUGGCAGCGGACCAGGACAGCAGCAGCACCAUCCAGAGCCCGACAUCAAUGCCCCCACAUCAGUGCCCCCACAGGACAAUGUCAGCAGCCACCACCUCCAGACUAAGCCACAACACGAACCCCAUUUAGUCCCGUAUUGUCUUUUGAUGCUGCAAGCUCCCAACUGCUCUGAGGAAUCUGUGUGGCUACCACGCAUUCCUUUUCAAAUCUAAA